rnacentral:rRNA from 1 species
AGUCGAGCGAACGGACGAGAAGCUUGCUUCUCUGAUGUUAGCGGCGGACGGGUGAGUAACACGUGGAUAACCUACCUAUAAGACUGGGAUAACUUCGGGAAACCGGAGCUAAUACCGGAUAAUAUUUUGAACCGCAUGGUUCAAAAGUGAAAGACGGUCUUGCUGUCACUUAUAGAUGGAUCCGCGCUGCAUUAGCUAGUUGGUAAGGUAACGGCUUACCAAGGCAACGAUGCAUAGCCGACCUGAGAGGGUGAUCGGCCACACUGGAACUGAGACACGGUCCAGACUCCUACGGGAGGCAGCAGUAGGGAAUCUUCCGCAAUGGGCGAAAGCCUGACGGAGCAACGCCGCGUGAGUGAUGAAGGUCUUCGGAUCGUAAAACUCUGUUAUUAGGGAAGAACAUAUGUGUAAGUAACUGUGCACAUCUUGACGGUACCUAAUCAGAAAGCCACGGCUAACUACGUGCCAGUAGCCGCGGUAAUACGUAGGUGGCAAGCGUUAUCCGGAAUUAUUGGGCGUAAAGCGCGCGUAGGCGGUUUUUUAAGUCUGAUGUGAAAGCCCACGGCUCAACCGUGGAGGGUCAUUGGAAACUGGAAAACUUGAGUGCAGAAGAGGAAAGUGGAAUUCCAUGUGUAGCGGUGAAAUGCGCAGAGAUAUGGAGGAACACCAGUGGCGAAGGCGACUUUCUGGUCUGUAACUGACGCUGAUGUGCGAAAGU